rnacentral:lncRNA from 1 species
UUUCUAUGUACUGACUUUUGGAUCUGAAAUUUUGCUUUCAGGACAAAUGGGGGAAGAGAAUGUACAUUACAUCAGUAUGCUAUGGUCGGAAAGUGGAGUAGCUAGCAUUCUUGUAUGUGGUUAGCUGGCUAUUUCAGCUAUGUAUACAAUUCGUAAAAAACAAAGUGGUCACCUAGUUUAUGAAGUGAGUUCAUGAAGAGAAACAGGUAAAUCUUUACUAGUUUACAGUGGGAAAGCAAAAAAGAAUCAGGAUGAUGAUGUUAGACACCUCUCUUUGUUUUUCCCAAAACCUUGUCUGCAAAAGUCAUCUCUGUUUCUUUCUCGUACUAUGAUGAGUGUUGCAAGCUCUAUCUACUUCCUCAUAAUCUUACAACAAGUUGAUGUCAAGUGGAAAAUUCAAGCUCCGGCGGGAAUGAAUGCAAGAGUAGACAACAAAGAGCACACUAGACAUCAUUAUCCAACAUAGAGAUCCAUAUCAGUGUUUUGAAUGAAAUUCUACAAUGGACUUGUUUCUUAUUGGGCUAAAAUAAUUGUAUUUGAGGCCCAUUGUGUUUUAAGAUAAUAAAGAAGGCUGAGGACAAGUUCGAGCUCAGGGGGGAAGAUCUGAUUUGGCAUCGGAUGUGCUUUUAGAUUUUGAAGGAGCUGCAAGAGAAAAGCUUCGAGCAAAGGCAAAAGUGUGGAUCUCUGAUUUGGCGGCGUUUGGUUCAAAAUUCUAAUGAUCUUAAAAGCUUUGUCGAGUGGUCAGAUUAUAACUGAAGUACUAUAUUAAGGACUUGCCUUUGCGUUUGUUCUGUGUGUCUGUUUGUUGAUCUCUAACUCAAAUAGUCAACAAAUGCCGAUAUUGAGUUGAUUUACUCAUGGUUUAUGAAAUAUAUAUAUUAUUAAAUCACUUGUAGUUAGUGAAGUGGGACUAUGUGUAUAUUUGAUUUAUACAUUUGGCAUUGUUAUUAUUUUUUGAACGGUCAGAGAUGAACGAGUUUGGUUUAAUUUAGAUUGAUUUCCGGUUAAAUUAACCAAACCCGGUCGAACGACUACAGAAAACCCUAAAUACGCACAGCCUUCAACCCAUUUGGGAGUCGUCACUCUCGAUUAAACCCUAAAACCCUCCACUGAAGAGGCAGAGAGCAAACAAACGCAGUCUUUGCGAAAAUUUAAGAAAGGAGAAAAAAUGAGACCACCGAUGCGCGGCGGAGGAGGUUUCAGGGGCAGGGGAGGACGUGACGGAGGCGGUAGAUUCGGUGGAGGAGGAGGACGCUUUGGUGGUGGAGGAGGACGCUUUGGUGGUGGAGGCGGUCGCUUUGGUGGUCAGAGUAACGAAGGUCCUCCUGCGGAAGUCGUGGGUUCGUUUCUAUACUUGACUUAGCUUUUACUUCGUUAUUGGUUUUUGUUUUUGAAUGUGUAGCAGAAAUGUACAAGAGCAAAUGUUCAAUGAUUUAUCAGUGUUUUCUCAUUGAUGGAGUCGUAUCAUGCUUACUUUGUUUCCCUUGAGCUAGUCUCGUUGGAUUUCAUGUAGAGAAAACACUCCACUAAGCUUCUUUAGAAGUUUGAUGCUUUUGACGGAUUUGGGUGUUGUAUCAUUUACCGUUUGUUUCAGCUUUGGGUUGAGUAUAUGGUUUUAAUGGAAAGUGAUAUAUAUGCCUGUGAAGACAUUUCUUCUUGAUUCGUUUGUGAUGAGGUUGAGUUCUUUGGUUUCAGAGGUUGCAACUUUCGUUCAUGCUUGCGAGGGAGAUGCUGUGACUAAACUCUCACAUGAGAAGAUUCCUUAUUUCAAUGCUCCAAUCUACCUAGAGAACAAGACUCAGAUUGGUAAAGUGGAUGAAAUCUUCGGGCCUAUUAAUGAAUCUGUAAGUUCUUUGUUUCUGUUGUCUUCUUCUUCCGGUCAUAAGCACACAAGAAGAUUCAGACAUUAAUUCUGGUUUGUUUCUUCUGCAGUUGUUUUCUAUCAAAAUGAUGGAAGGUAUUGUAGCCACCUCGUAUUCCCCUGGAGAUAAGUUCUUCAUCGACCCUUACAAGCUUUUGCCUCUCUCUCGAUUCCUUCCUCAGCCAAAGUAAGUCCCACCUCUUAACACUUUGGUUAAAAUAUAGACAAGAUAGCUUUUUUCCUCUGAACUACCAAGACUAAAGAUACACUAUUAGUUUUGAAAGUUGUUAAUUGUAGCAAACUCCAUUUAACGGUAUGUCUUUGUUUUUCCAGGGGUCAGCCAGGAAGUGGACGUGGAGGUCGUGGAAGAGGUGAUGGCGGGAGAGGUAGCUUCCGUGGUAGAGGUGCUCCAAGAGGUAGAGGCCCUCCAAGAGGUAGAGGAUUUCCAUCACGAGGGGGUUCUCGUGGAGGCUUUAGAGGCAGAGGACGAGGAUAGAUUCUUCUCCUACUUGACUAGCUUUAUCCAAACUUGUGUACCCUUUGUUUUAUUAAUGACUGUCGUUUUCCCAGAUUCUCAGUUUUCAAGACUUUGUUUUAAUCUAUGGCUUAAAAAAUAUUAAAAUUGCAGUGAUUAGCUCCGCUUGAUAGACAUUUAGAAAAGGUUACACCGUCACUAGCAAUUGGUUUUUAUUACUCUAAAAAAUAGAUUCAAAUCACAAAGCAAGUCAACAAUAUAGAGUGAUAGUUUUAACGAAUUCUUGUUCUUGAGCUUCCAUGUGGAUUUAUCAAGAACCCCAGCCUCUGAUAAUGGUAGCUUGAGCGACACGGUUGAUACCAAGGGUGAAAGCUCCCAUACGGAGAUCACAUGAGUGAGUCGCACACAUCUCUUUCAAGUCUUUGAAUCCUCGAGUCAUGUAUGUCUUAAGCUCUUUGUUCACCUUUUCUUCAUCCCACAUGAAUCCUUGUAUAUUCUUCACACAUAUUUUACGAAUCAGGUUUUUGGAUCAACUGACUUUACAUUCGGUUAAGGUCAUAUAUAUUCUUGAUUAGAGUCUUACCUGAACCCACUCGAAGUAACUUACAGUGACUCCUCCUGAGUUAGCGUAUAUAUCUGGGAGGAUUACAACACCUUUCCUCCUCAAGAUCUGCAAGAGACAGUUGAUACUGAGUCUUUCAUGCUGAGUCUAUGACGAAGAAGAACAAAAACAAAGAAUCAGAUUUUCUAACCUCGUCAGCCUCAGGGUCAGUUGGGUGAUUAGCACCUUCAAUGAUAAAUUUCGCUUUGAUUUCGUUUGCAUUUUCCCUAAAAACAGAUCAAAGUCAGAGUUUCAUAAGAAAGUCCAUGAAAGAGAGAGAAGAUUAAUUUAAGAGACAAGAAACUUUAAAGACCUGUUGAUGACACCGCCUAGAGCUGCAGGGACAAGAAUAUCACAAUCUUCGACAAGAAUAGAAUCAGUAUCAAUCGAAUCAGCACCAUCAAACCCUUUGAUUCCUCUGGUUUCUUCGACAUGCUCAAGCAAACCCAAAAUAUCGAUUCCGUUCUUGUUCUUGAUUGCUCCUGUGACAUCGCUCACCGCCACAAUCUUACCACCUUUUUCACUUAUCAACUUCGCCGCCCAAGAACCAACAUUUCCAAAACCCUAAGAGACAGAGACAGUAUGAGUGCCUUCACACGCAAGUAACAUCUGUAAGUAAACAUUUUUGUACUUCUUAUACCUGGAUGGCGAAUCGUUGUCCAGAUAUGCUCAUUCCAUGUUCAUUGAGCAAAGCUUCUGUCGCAAAUAAUACUCCUCUUCCUGUCGCAGCAUCUCUCCCAAGAGAUCCACCAAGAUCCUGCUCAAAAAUCAAAUCUCACUCAGUUUUAGAUUGGUUGAACAGAUAAACCGAACAAACCGCAAUAAGAACGGUCACUUACAAUGGGUUUUCCGGUCACAACAGCAGGCGAGUGUCCGUGAAAUUUUGAGUAUUCAUCAAGCAUCCAAGCCAUUGUCUGAAAAUUUUCAUCAGUAUGUUUCAGACAAAAACAAAACAUAAGAACUCCCAACUGAAGUACAAAAUAAAGAAAUCGUAUUCGAAACCUGAGGACCGGUUCCCAUAUCAGGAGCUGGAACAUCGGUAUGAAUGCCUAUGAGAUCGUGGAUCUUCUGAGUGAAAACACGAGUCAAACGUUCGAGCUCUGAGAUGCUUAGCUCGCUCGGGUCACAACCUAUUCCUCCUUUGGCUCCUCCGUAAGGUAUCUUAGCCACUGCUGUUUUCCAUGUCAUGAGUUGAGCCAAAGCGUUUACUUCAUCCGGUUCGACCUGUCGAUAACCGAUUUCUGGUUUAUACUUCAUUCCAAUAUUGAAUUUGGUUUGGUUUGAUGACCCAAAAAAAAAAAAAAAGAGUCCAGUAAAACAAACCUCAGGAUGAUAUCUGAUUCCACCUUUCAUGGGACCUCUUGCAUUGUCGUGUUGAACUCUGAAUCCAACAUAUGAUGCAAGAGUUCCAUCGUCUUUAGGUAUGGUACAUUCCACCUGCAAUAAUUGGUUAGUUCCGGUUUAAUGAUCUUGAACCGGAUCUGUUAUAGAUGGAUGGACAGAAACAGAGGAAAUGAUCGAAACCUUGAUCUCUCUGAAGGGAAUGAGAAGACUUUUCUCGAGCUUAGAGUCUAAACCAAGAAGUCUAGAAGCUAGUUUGAAGUUUCUGUUGGUUGCUGCUAAAGCAUUCAUGGCUUUCUUCUCUCUUCUCGAAAUUUGGAUUUAUUUGAUCAAAAGAGACUCUAAUAUAUGAAAAAUAGUUGGAAAAAAAUGUGAUUCUUGCUUAUGUUAUUGCAAGUAUAUAUAUAUAGAGAGAUACGUAUACACUUCGUGUUGAUGUGUUGAGGAAUAUGAGAAUGAGAAUUCUUGUUUUCUUGUAAAAUUUAAAUAAGGAAUAUGAAUAUAACUAAAUAAAGACAUACCCAUAAUUGAUCCUGAUUUUGAGUAUUAAGAAUAGUACAAUGUGUCUCUCUAACAAAGUUUUUAGACACAAUAAAAAAAAUAUAUAUAUAUGAUAGUUUAUAGAAAUUUUGCACAUGUCCUCCAUGUGUAUAAUAAAUUACAAUAAUGAAAUAUUCAUUACUAGUGAAAACAAUCCGGAGAUUAAUUAAGCAGAAUAAAUAUAUUCUUUUCAUUCCAAAAAGAUAGGAUAAAUAAAGAUUUAUUUACAGGACAGAAUCAUGACAUACAUAUUACAUAGAUUAUAGAUAAAAAAAGAGUAAGCUUAUGAAAUUUAAUCUAAUUGUAUCACACAGUGUCAUUUUAAUUCAUUUCUAAGAUGAUUUAUUUUAAGUAAAUAUAUCAACAAAAACCAAAAGCAAUUAUACCACUUUAUAAUUACGUAGAUGAUUUUAUUCAUUUGGAAUUACUUAGUAUCUACUAAGAUUAUUUUAACCACUUUCAUAGUCUAUAUAUAAAAUUUAAAGUUUUUAUCUUAUAGUUUUAGUAAAAAAAUGUUAUAGGAAAAUCAUGCGAAUAUAAUUGUCUAGGUAGAGGCCGACCUAAUAUAUACCGAAAUGAAUGUUGCAUGUCAUAAGAUCUCCUUACGUGUUAUUAACUUAUUCUAUUCUAUCAGGCAUCUACACAUAACACACAUAUAUAUAUAUAUAUAGCGUAUACACUUUUGCGAGUAGUGUCAGUGACAAACAAAAAACGUAUGUAUACACUUAGUGAGAGUUAGUGUCUUUAGUGGGAAAGAAAAAACGUAUACACUUAAUUAUUAUUUACACACAUACAAUAUUCAGUUUUGAUUGUAAAUAUUCUUUGCACAUAUGUUUUCUUUAGAUACUCAAAUCAGAAUCUUUAGGGAAUCAGAGGAUGACACGAGAGAGGAUGCAACAAAUCAAGAAACACAAAACAAUUACAAGAUUCCAUCACCGAAGAAUCUUUUUGGAAUAAAAGAUUUCCCACGAUUAAUGCUUCCACUAAUAUAAAUUGUGGAUUUCCACCAAGAUUUUUCUUUCUCUAUCAAUUCCCAAAAGAAGAUAUCAAUUUCGUAAUAACAUUUGACCUUAUACAAUAAUAUCCUAGUGUUUCCAAAUUUGAUCUAACCUCUUUAGUCAAAAACAAACUAAUAUAUAAAACAUGAUAACCCAAUAUAAAUCAUAUUCAUGGUAGCUAAUGUCAUGGUUUUAUUAUUAUUUUUAAAAAUGUUAUGCAUAUAGCUUUUUAUAUCACUUUUUCAAAUUUUAGUAACUGAUAAAAAAAAAUAAAACCAGUUGGACUUUUCCUUAAAAGGCCACUCCCAAAUAAAACAAAUUACGCGAGAAUAAUGGCAUUAAUUAACUAUACUAGGAAAAUAAAUAAAAAUGUAUUUAAAAUAUUAAAACAAUGUCUAAAAUCAAUUCAAGACCAUAAGUUAUCCUGUAUAUUUUUGGAUAACCCACUUAAUUGCGGCCUUAAUAUUAUGGGCUUUGUUAUAUAGCCCAUCAAUCUCUAAGUGAAAAAACCUUGAUGCUAAAAGCUCAAAUAAACGUGUCUUCAGGGACCAAGUCCUCGUUAUUACAAUCACUGAUCAACCCACAUUGUUCUCUUCUCUCCAUCUGUCUGCCACUCCAUUAAUGUCGGUUCCCANNNNNNNNNNNNNNNNNNNNNNNNNNNNNNNNNNNNNNNNNNNNNNNNNNNNNNNNNNNNNNNNNNNNNNNNNNNNNNNNNNNNNNNNNNNNNNNNNNNNNNNNNNNNNNNNNNNNNNNNNNNNNNNNNNNNNNNNNNNNNNNNNNNNNNNNNNNNNNNNNNNNNNNNNNNNNNNNNNNNNNNNNNNNNNNNNNNNNNNNNNNNNNNNNNNNNNNNNNNNNNNNNNNNNNNNNNNNNNNNNNNNNNNNNNNNNNNNNNNNNNNNNNNNNNNNNNNNNNNNNNNNNNNNNNNNNNNNNNNNNNNNNNNNNNNNNNNNNNNNNNNNNNNNNNNNNNNNNNNNNNNNNNNNNNNNNNNNNNNNNNNNNNNNNNNNNNNNNNNNNNNNNNNNNNNNNNNNNNNNNNNNNNNNNNNNNNNNNNNNNNNNNNNNNNNNNNNNNNNNNNNNNNNNNNNNNNNNNNNNNNNNNNNNNNNNNNNNNNNNNNNNNNNNNNNNNNNNNNNNNNNNNNGUGGUCUUCUUAAUGUUGUUUGAACGUGUCUUUACAGAUUGGAUCCAGUUUCUGGUGGUCUAGUUUCUCUGAGUUUUGGUGAUCGAGCAGAUUAACAGGCAGAGUUUUAAGAAUGUCGACAGUGGGGAAUUCAACAAACAUAUUUUGGCAAGAAUCACCCAUUGGGAAAGCUGAAAGGCAAAAGUUGUUAAACCAGAGGGGCUGUGUGGUGUGGAUCACAGGGCUCAGUGGCUCAGGUCAAUCUCAUAAAUCUUCCUCAUUUUGAUGAUUACUUAAGCUGCCUUGUUUAUGUCAAGUUCUUAUGUUACAUAAGUCUCUGUCUAUAUUCUAAAUUCUUAGUUAGACUGAAACAUUGUUCAGGGAAAAGCACGUUAGCUUGCUCGCUGAGUAGAGAGCUGAACAACCGGGGCAAGUUAUCAUAUAUUCUUGAUGGGGACAAUCUUCGUCAUGGUUUGAACAAAGAUCUUGGUUUCAAGGCAGAGGACAGAGUUGAAAAUAUACGCAGAGUCGGUAAGUACAUUACUUGUUACAUUUUGAAUUGGAUUGGUGAAAGUCUAAUAGUAUUGAUAGUUAUGGCUUACAAAUUACUAAACCCCAUCGAUAUACAUAUUCUUUUAUACCUGAAAGCUGAUACAGGUUCUGGUUAUUAUUGAAAGAAAAUUCUCAAAAGGACAAUGUGAAAGAAAACCAUUUAUAUGUUAAAACGCAGGAGAAGUAGCAAAACUCUUUGCGGAUGCUGGUUUGAUAUGCAUCGCCAGCCUCAUAUCGCCAUAUAGAAAAGACCGUGAUGCCUGCAGGGAAAUGAUGCAGGAUUCAUCUUUUAUCGAGGCAAGCUAUCUGAAACCAGACUUUACAGGUUGUAGCACCCAUUCAGUUUAACAUAUUUGUUUGAUGUUGUGGGAUAAACUCUUCAGGUUUACAUGAACAUGUCUCUACAAUUGUGUGAAGCAAGAGACCCUAAAGGCCUAUACAAGCUAGCGCGUGCAGGAAAGAUCAAAGGUGAGAUAACAUAGCUUCCAUAGAAACAGAAGAUAUCAUUUGGAUCUUUAUAGAAGGCCUUAUUUCUGCAUUCCCUUUUGUUUAGGUUUCACAGGAAUAGAUGAUCCGUAUGAAUCUCCCUUGAAUUGUGAGGUAUUAUCCUUGUGAAUAUAUAUGAUUCUUCUUCAAAUAUGGCAAACUAAAUCUAUCUUGCGUGUGUGUGAAAUAAGUUAAUCAGCUUUUGUACAUAUGUUUUGAAACCUAACAGAUAGAGCUGAAAGAGAAAGAAGGAGAGUGUCCUUCCCCUGUAGCUAUGGCUGAAGAAGUCAUCUCUUAUUUAGAAGACAAAGGUUUCCUCCAAAACGAGUAACCUUCAACAUAAUCCAACGGCUGGGAUUGUUCCUCUGAUUAUUACUCUCAUAAAUAUAUAUAUAUCCCCAUCUCUUUCUUCUCAAACCUAUCAACUUUUCUAUACUGAAUGUCUGAAACUCAAGUGAUUCAACGGCAGAGUCUUACCAAGCUAAAUCAGAAUAUUGCAGUUACAUUUGUUAAGGUAAAUCACACCAAUUUGAAGUAAGUAACAAGUCAUUCCAUUGAGGAUGAUCUAUUCAAAACCCUAUACAACAACGACAAAGACUACUGCCAAUAUUAUUCUUCUGAAUUUGAUACUAUGGUGCAACGGUUAUACUGAUACACUUAUGAUAGAUUGAUAGUGGAUAAAUUGAUUCAGAAAAAAAUAUAGAUCUUAUUUGAAUAGCUUGUAAAAAUAGAGGGUUCUUUUUGCAAUGUUCCCUAAAUGUUUAGAUUCUGAUGAGUUGUGCAAUAUAAAAAAAAACAAAAAACUCGAUCCCGGGGGACAAUUUAGAGACAAAAGAUGGUGUUGAAUAGUCGAUUGGUGGAGACAACGGUGAAUCUAUCGGCAGAUCUCUGGCAAUAUGUUGCUUGUAACCCCGAGAGACUUCCUCGCGCUACCGUGCUCAAUUUUAUCUUCUGCAUCCCUCUCCUCCAACUCCGCCGCCUCGCUUCCUCUCUCGGAUCAUACCUCUGCUUCGUUUCCGGCACCGGAGUCGAUCGCCGUACUCAUUUCGAUUAAUUUCUCGUCGUAGUUUCCGCGAAUCGUCUGUUAAAUUUCGACUUUGGUUCUGUAAAAUUUUGUUUUGAUUGUAAUAUUGUAAUCUCAGUUUGUUUGUAAACCGAAAGGGACAUUAAAAAAUUAAUACCAGAAUUAACCGAAAUGUUUUAACAAGAUACAAAACCAAACCGGGUUGUUCGGAAUUGUGUUUUCUCUCUCAUCAAAGGAGAGAAGAAAGGUGAGGGGAGACGUGUAAAACAGACAACAUCCGAAAGGUUCCGUUUUCGUGGGGAAGAAGAUGAAGUCGCUUGUAGUGGCCCAUUUCUCAACGCCUUUAAUCACUUCUACUUCUAGAUUGUUGUUCCCUUUAUGUCUUAAUCAUCGAGCUUCAUUCUCCGCCGUCUCUUUCCCCACCGUCCGCCGCCGAUAUUCUCCUCUCGCCAUGGCCUCAUCAGCUCAGUCCUCUUCUCAGGUCAGGAUUCAGUAUUUGGAGUUUUAUUGAUGAAUCCGUUGGUAUUGCUCAGGAGAACCAGUGAAUCUGUAUUUUGAUUGAUGUGGCUCCUUGAUCUAAUUUCCUGUAAUCAUUUUGGUUUUGUAUUUGUUAGUUUGAUCUUUUUGGUUUGAGGUCAACUGCUGAAAACUUGUAACUUUAUGUCUCACACUUGUACUAAUCAGGCUGUGUCUUCCGGGAGUGCCGACAGUGAUACAGAUGUUUUUAAAUUGAUUCAAGCUCACGAGGUAACUAAUGUGCCAAUUUUGUAAUCAUGGUAUCUGAAUAUAUCUAGUAUAUGAUUUGACAAUAUUCAUGUUCUCAAUGCCAUGUUAAUUUUUUUUGCAUUCAUAGUUCUCAGAGCUUUGUGAAUUAGUUUUAAAGUAUUGAUAAUGGGUCGUUUAAUCUGCAGGAGAAGGCUGCUCGUCUUUCCCCAGUCGAAGAAAUCCGAACUGUGCUUAAUGGUAGCCUCUGCGGUAUGCUUUCCACUUUUUCUCAGGUGAGCAAUUAAAUUAAUCUUCUAUGAACAUGAUUUCUCUUAGAGAAAAUUAGGAUGUGUGCCGAAGUACUAGGAUUCUGAUUAUUUGGUCACCGUGUCACACAUUGUAAUUUCAAAAGCUACCUUCACUCUAUCUCAUUUACCGCAAUUUUGAUCUGAUGCAGAAGUAUGAGGGUUAUCCUUCAGGUUCAAUGGUUGAUUUUGCAUGUGAUGCUGAUGGUUCUCCUAUUCUGGCAGUUAGUAGCUUGGCAGUUCAUACAAAGGUUUGUUGCUUAUUCAAGGACUUAUGAUGAUUCAUCUCUGUUUUUGCUGCAAUCUAGAGGACUUUUAACGAUAGUUUGCAAAAUGAAAAUGUGUGGAAUAGUGAAGUGACUGCGGAAGCAAAGUAAAAAAGCAAUCGUCUUCCCUUCUUUUACAAAUUUAGAUGUCUUGACCUUAUAAUUUAUUAUGCCGUUUGCAGGAUCUUUUAGCUAAUCCAAAAUGCUCACUACUAAUUGCUAGAGACCCAGAGGAUAGGACCGGUUUGAGGAUCACCCUACAUGGUGAUGCAGUGUUGGUAUGUAUUUCGCUGUGUUUUUGUUUUAUCUGCACUUACAGUCAAAUAGAAUGCUUGAAUGUUUUUCUCUUUAUUUUUAGGUUUCUGAAAAAGAUCAAGCAGCUGUUCGAUCUGCCUAUUUAGCCAAGCAUCCCAGUGCUUUCUGGGUAAACACCCUUUCUUAUAAUGACUAAAGUGAAGAACCCCCCAAAGACAAUGUACUGUAACAUAUCAAUUAAUUAACUGAACCUUUUUUUCUUGAAACGUCGAAGGUUGAUUUCGGGGACUUCAGCCUUAUGCGAAUCGAACCGAAAGUUGUCAGAUAUGUUUCAGGGGUUGCAACUGCUUUUCUGGGAUCUGGAGGUAUCUUUUUUGCUUCAUCUAAUAUAUAUCCUAUCUUCUGCAACACAAUUUAUUGUAAUCCCGCUAAUAUUUUACUUACUCUCUGAAAUCUCGAUUUCCAGAAUUCAGCAAAGAGGAGUUCCAAGCAGCCAAAGUUGAUCCUAUAGCUCAGUAUGCAAAGCCUGUAAUGGUAUAACAAACAUAUCCCCAGUACAAUCGUCAACAUAUAGGAGUGGAUGUGUACUAACUAACUCCUUUUCAUUUCGGCAGUCUCACAUGAACAAAGAUCAUGAAGAGGAUACCAUAGCCAUUGUACACAAUAUAACAUCCAUACCUGUAAGUGAUUCAGUUCACCAUCUUAAUCUUGGUCAACAAAAAACUUCAGUAAUGAACAUUUAAUUCUAUGAAAUCUAGUUAAGUUCAGCCUUAUUUGUUUUCGACAGACGAUCAUACCAUACGAUAUAUUAACAUAUAUCACAUUCAAACUAUAUAAUGAGUAUAUUUCCUUGAAUAUCAGGUGGAGAGCGCCUUGAUGCUAGAUUUGGACAGCCUUGGUUUCAACGUUAAGGUGUGUUUUCUGAACGUCAAAACCCCAAUAUCUCAUCUUUCAGUGUACGAAACAGAUGUUCUUUUCCUCGUUACAGGCUACUCUUCAAGGGAACUCCUUCAAACUCCGAGUUCCAUUCCCAAGACGCGCACAAGACAGAAAGUAAGAUCAAGACUCUAUGUUGCAGUUUUGUUCCCAGUUUCAGUCUAGAUUAAAACAACCGAUUCCCUGUACUACAAGUGAUACAAAACUGAUUGAGUAACUCUUAAAUUGGUGGUGGUUUUGCAGGGAUGUGAAGACACUGAUAGUGGAAAUGCUUCAAGCCGCCAAAUCUGUUUCCAAUUAGUUAUCUAAGUUAAAGAUGGAAAAAGCUCUCUACCUUCUGAAUCUUGCUACAACAAGACAAGCUUCCUCCUUUACACAUUCCUUAUCUUUGUAUUGCAAAAGAACAUUCAUUGAGUCCUGUAUAUAUGUUAACAAGACUUUAACUAAACUUACACAUGGAAAAGUUAUAAAUGGAGAUAUGUGAAUUCAUAUCGGCUCUCAUGUAUGCUUAUUCCAUUCACAUUGCUUGUAAUUGUAGGGAAAGUUUAAAUGUAGUUUAAAGUUACUAAUUGACUAGCGGGUACGACAAAGACUAAUCCAAAGCAGCAGAGACUAUACCAGACUAUACCAAACAGCAUAAAUCAAACACGAGAUUUCCAACUAUUUUAGAAACUUUAUAAAUAAAACAAAUUUUUUUACUUAAAUUGGCUUCUACAUAGGGUUGUAAUGGUAUGAAUAUGAGAGUUCCAUCAAUAAGGGUCCAUUAAUUUAAGUUAUAUUUUUUGUUUUAUUACUUUUGUGGCAUGAAAUUGAUAAGGGUCCAUCAAUAAAUGUCAACAGUGGUGAGAGUAGCAUAUAAAACUUAGACUUUUCUACUUUGUAUAUUAUAAAGUUUGAAUGCGAAGGAGGGUACAUAAAGAAGAUUUCACCCACUCCACCAACUACAAUUCAAUUCUUUUGUUAUUAUUAGCUAAAUGGGGAUCUACUGAUCCCAUGUUCAAUAAGUUAACUCAAUAAGUUACAUAAAAAAGAAGUGAUAUAUAAAGUGGACUUUGAAAUAAAAUUCUUCAAUUGAUUAGUUCUCUGCUCUUUGUAUAGAUGUUAUUGGUGAAUAGACUCAAUGGGAAAUAUUUAUUACUCAAAAUACAUUGGUAACGAUUUAUUUUUCUAUGUAACUUAAAAGGAAACAAAAAAAGAAGGUUAAAGCUAAAUGAUGACGCAAAAAGUACAAACCCCCUUGUCCAAAGCAGCAGUACAGUCCAACUGUUUAGUCAACUCAAGACAUCCUACUAUCUUUUGUUGCUAUUGUCUGUUUUUUUACUUUUGUCUUCAAUAUCUACCAAAAAAAAUACUGUUUUACAGAGGAAUCUCGUAAUCUGGACUGAAAAUACGUAUAAGAAAUUCUAACUCAAAUUAUAAUUAUUUCAAACAACUAAAAAUAUACUUAACCUUAAAAAAUGUAAAUCAUGAGAUUAUUAUGUUUUGGAAGAUUCGACCAGAAAAUGUUUUGGAGGAUAAUUAACUUAUUUAAUUUAAUUGAAAGGGUGAGACCUGGACCGGUUGGAAAAGCCCAUUAAAGAGGCCCAUCUUUGCACAGAAAACCCUAACGCCUUGUCCAAUUUACUAGUCUGUCUCCGACAGAACUUUACAAAAGUCAAAUCUAAUCUUCAAGCCUAUGCGCAGUACCUGCUGUUAUAUAUUUAGAUCUGCUCUCGCUUUUUUCUUCCACCGAUCUACAAGCCUAUAUGCGGUACCUAAUCUUCAAGAUUUCUUUGGUAUGUGAUAACACUUUUGCUGAUUGAUUCGUUAUAUAUAUGUAGAUCUGUGUUUGUUUUGAUGAUAUAUAUGUAGAUCUGUUAUUGAGUUUUCUUUCACCGGUCUAUGUAGUGCCUGAUCAUCAAAUUUCAUUAGGAUUUGAUAUUGUUUUACUGAUAGAUAUGUUAUAUAUGUGUGUUUGUUUUUUCUUCCAUCGAUCUAUAAGCAUGUAUGUAGAUUUCUAUUUGUUUUCAAAAUAUAAUUGAUUGGCUUUCGUUCUUACAUUUUCUAGUAACAGUAAUUUUUUUUUUCCUUUUGGUAAAGUUUACUUUUACUAUAUUGGACUGUGGCCCAAUAGAAAGACCCAAUUCUAAAAUCGAACAAAAUAUCAUUAUAAUAUCUUGCCCUCCAUCCCAAAAAUCUGAAAUUCUGCGAAAAACCCUAAUCUUGCAUCACGAUCAUGCUGAAAGCUAAUCUGAAACUCCUCUCUUCGGUUAGGUCGAGAUGCUCUUCAAGAGCUUCUUCCAGUCGAUUCCAGUUUUGUGUUUUUGCUGACGUGAACACUGAUGGCUUAUUUUCACGGUAUUUUCACGGUACUUUCCAACAAUUACAGCAAAAUGUAGCGCAGAAAAGUGAUGUAGCAUAGGCAAAGGCUCUUCCCAGAAGAAUAUCAAUAUCAUGUAACA